rnacentral:rRNA from 1 species
GACGAACGCUGGCGGCGUGCUUAACACAUGCAAGUCGAACGGAAAGGCCCUGCUUUUGUGGGGUGCUCGAGUGGCGAACGGGUGAGUAACACGUGAGUAACCUGCCCUUGACUUUGGGAUAACUUCAGGAAACUGGGGCUAAUACCGGAUAGGAGCUCCUGCUGCAUGUUGGGGGUUGGAAGGUUUCGGCGGUUGGGGAUGGACUCGCGGCUUAUCAGCUUGUUGGUGGGGUAGUGGCUUACCAAGGCUUUGACGGGUAGCCGGCCUGAGAGGGUGACCGGCCACAUUGGGACUGAGAUACGGCCCAGACUCCUACGGGAGGCAGCAGUGGGGAAUAUUGCACAAUGGGCGGAAGCCUGAUGCAGCAACGCCGCGUGCGGGAUGACGGCCUUCGGGUUGUAAACCGCUUUCGCCUGUGACGAAGCGUGAGUGACGGUAAUGGGUAAAGAAGCACCGGCUAACUACGUG